rnacentral:rRNA from 1 species
ACUAAGCGUACACGGUGGAUGCCCUGGCAGUCAGAGGCGAUGAAGGACGUGCUAAUCUGCGAUAAGCGUCGGUAAGGUGAUAUGAACCGUUAUAACCGGCGAUUUCCGAAUGGGGAAACCCAGUGUGUUUCGACACACUAUCAUUAACUGAAUCCAUAGGUUAAUGAGGCGAACCGGGGGAACUGAAACAUCUAAGUACCCCGAGGAAAAGAAAUCAACCGAGAUUCCCCCAGUAGCGGCGAGCGAACGGGGAGGAGCCCAGAGCCUGAAUCAGUGUGUGUGUUAGUGGAAGCGUCUGGAAAGGCGCGCGAUACAGGGUGACAGCCCCGUACACAAAAAUGCACAUACUGUGAGCUCGAUGAGUAGGGCGGGACACGUGGUAUCCUGUCUGAAUAUGGGGGGACCAUCCUCCAAGGCUAAAUACUCCUGACUGACCGAUAGUGAACCAGUACCGUGAGGGAAAGGCGAAAAGAACCCCGGCGAGGGGAGUGAAAAAGAACCUGAAACCGUGUACGUACAAGCAGUGGGAGCACAGAGCAAUCUGUGUGACUGCGUACCUUUUGUAUAAUGGGUCAGCGACUUAUAUUCUGUAGCAAGGUUAACCGAAUAGGGGAGCCGAAGGGAAACCGAGUCUUAACUGGGCGUUAAGUUGCAGGGUAUAGACCCGAAACCCGGUGAUCUAGCCAUGGGCAGGUUGAAGGUUGGGUAACACUAACUGGAGGACCGAACCGACUAAUGUUGAAAAAUUAGCGGAUGACUUGUGGCUGGGGGUGAAAGGCCAAUCAAACCGGGAGAUAGCUGGUUCUCCCCGAAAGCUAUUUAGGUAGCGCCUCGUGAAUUCAUCUCCGGGGGUAGAGCACUGUUUCGGCAAGGGGGUCAUCCCGACUUACCAACCCGAUGCAAACUGCGAAUACCGGAGAAUGUUAUCACGGGAGACACACGGCGGGUGCUAACGUCCGUCGUGAAGAGGGAAACAACCCAGACCGCCAGCUAAGGUCCCAAAGUCAUGGUUAAGUGGGAAACGAUGUGGGAAGGCCCAGACAGCCAGGAUGUUGGCUUAGAAGCAGCCAUCAUUUAAAGAAAGCGUAAUAGCUCACUGGUCGAGUCGGCCUGCGCGGAAGAUGUAACGGGGCUAAACCAUGCACCGAAGCUGCGGCAGCGACGCUGAUGCGUUGUUGGGUAGGGGAGCGUUCUGUAAGCCUGCGAAGGUGUGCUGUGAGGCAUGCUGGAGGUAUCAGAAGUGCGAAUGCUGACAUAAGUAACGAUAAAGCGGGUGAAAAGCCCGCUCGCCGGAAGACCAAGGGUUCCUGUCCAACGUUAAUCGGGGCAGGGUGAGUCGACCCCUAAGGCGAGGCCGAAAGGCGUAGUCGAUGGGAAACAGGUUAAUAUUCCUGUACUUGGUGUUACUGCGAAGGGGGGACGGAGAAGGCUAUGUUGGCCGGGCGACGGUUGUCCCGGUUUAAGCGUGUAGGCUGGUUUUCCAGGCAAAUCCGGAAAAUCAAGGCUGAGGCGUGAUGACGAGGCACUACGGUGCUGAAGCAACAAAUGCCCUGCUUCCAGGAAAAGCCUCUAAGCAUCAGGUAACAUCAAAUCGUACCCCAAACCGACACAGGUGGUCAGGUAGAGAAUACCAAGGCGCUUGAGAGAACUCGGGUGAAGGAACUAGGCAAAAUGGUGCCGUAACUUCGGGAGAAGGCACGCUGAUAUGUAGGUGAAGUCCCUCGCGGAUGGAGCUGAAAUCAGUCGAAGAUACCAGCUGGCUGCAACUGUUUAUUAAAAACACAGCACUGUGCAAACACGAAAGUGGACGUAUACGGUGUGACGCCUGCCCGGUGCCGGAAGGUUAAUUGAUGGGGUUAGCGCAAGCGAAGCUCUUGAUCGAAGCCCCGGUAAACGGCGGCCGUAACUAUAACGGUCCUAAGGUAGCGAAAUUCCUUGUCGGGUAAGUUCCGACCUGCACGAAUGGCGUAAUGAUGGCCAGGCUGUCUCCACCCGAGACUCAGUGAAAUUGAACUCGCUGUGAAGAUGCAGUGUACCCGCGGCAAGACGGAAAGACCCCGUGAACCUUUACUAUAGCUUGACACUGAACAUUGAGCCUUGAUGUGUAGGAUAGGUGGGAGGCUUUGAAGUGUGGACGCCAGUCUGCAUGGAGCCGACCUUGAAAUACCACCCUUUAAUGUUUGAUGUUCUAACGUUGACCCGUAAUCCGGGUUGCGGACAGUGUCUGGUGGGUAGUUUGACUGGGGCGGUCUCCUCCUAAAGAGUAACGGAGGAGCACGAAGGUUGGCUAAUCCUGGUCGGACAUCAGGAGGUUAGUGCAAUGGCAUAAGCCAGCUUGACUGCGAGCGUGACGGCGCGAGCAGGUGCGAAAGCAGGUCAUAGUGAUCCGGUGGUUCUGAAUGGAAGGGCCAUCGCUCAACGGAUAAAAGGUACUCCGGGGAUAACAGGCUGAUACCGCCCAAGAGUUCAUAUCGACGGCGGUGUUUGGCACCUCGAUGUCGGCUCAUCACAUCCUGGGGCUGAAGUAGGUCCCAAGGGUAUGGCUGUUCGCCAUUUAAAGUGGUACGCGAGCUGGGUUUAGAACGUCGUGAGACAGUUCGGUCCCUAUCUGCCGUGGGCGCUGGAGAACUGAGGGGGGCUGCUCCUAGUACGAGAGGACCGGAGUGGACGCAUCACUGGUGUUCGGGUUGUCAUGCCAAUGGCACUGCCCGGUAGCUAAAUGCGGAAGAGAUAAGUGCUGAAAGCAUCUAAGCACGAAACUUGCCCCGAGAUGAGUUCUCCCUGACUCCUUGAGAGUCCUGAAGGAACGUUGAAGACGACGACGUUGAUAGGCCGGGUGUGUAAGCGCAGCGAUGCGUUGAGCUAACCGGUACUAAUGAACCGUGAGGCUUAACC